rnacentral:rRNA from 1 species
GGGUUAAGUCCCGCAACGAGCGCAACCCCUGCCUUUAGUUGCCAGCAUUCAGUUGGGCGCUCUAGCAGGGACUGCGCGACGUGUAAGUCGGAGGAAGGUGGGGAUGACGUCAAGUCCUCAUGGCCCUUAUGGGUAGGGCUUCACACGUCAUACAAUGGUCGGUACAGAGGGUUGCCAAGCCGCGAGGUGGAGCCAAUCCCACAAAGCCGAUCGUAGUCCGGAUCGCAGUCUGCAACUCGACUGCGUGAAGUCGGAAUCGCUAGUAAUCGUGGAUCAGCAUGCCACGGUGAAUACGUUCCCUGGUCUUGUACACACCGCCCGUCACACCAUGGGAGUGGGUUUCACCAGAAGUAGUUAGCCUAACCGCAAGGGGGGCGAUUACCACGGUGGGAUUCAUGACUGGGGUGAAGUCGUNACAAGGUAGCCNUAGGGGAACCUGCGGCUGGAUCACCUCCUUU